rnacentral:rRNA from 1 species
GGUAGUAGUGGGUGUAGCGUACCUACUAGCCUACGACGGGUACGGGUUGUGAGAGCAAGAGCCCGGAGAUGGAUUCUGAGACACGAAUCCAGGCCCUACGGGGUGCAGCAGGCGCGAAAACUUUACAAUGCUGGAAACAGCGAUAAGGGGACCUCGAGUGCCAGGUUACAAAUCUGGCUGUCGUGAUGCCUAAAAAGCAUUGCAUAGCAAGGGCCGGGCAAGACCGGUGCCAGCCGCCGCGGUAACACCGGCGGCUCGAGUGGUAACCGUUAUUAUUGGGUCUAAAGGGUCUGUAGCCGGCCGGAUAAGUCUCUUGGGAAAUCCAGCAGCUCAACUGUUGGGCUUUCAGGAGAUACUGUCUGGCUCGAGGCCGGGAGAGGUGAGAGGUACUUCAGGGGUAGGGGUGAAAUCUUGUAAUCCUUGAAGGACCACCAGUGGCGAAGGCGUCUCACCAGAACGGACCUGACGGCAAGGGACGAAAGCUAGGGGCACGAACCGGAUUAGAUACCCGGGUAGUCCUAGCCGUAAACGAUACUCGCUAGGUGUCGGCCACGGUGCGACCGUUGUCGGUGCCGUAGGGAAGCCGUGAAGCGAGCCACCUGGGAAGUACGGCCGCAAGGCUGAAACUUAAAGGAAUUGGCGGGGGAGCAC